AACGGUGUAGCCAAAUGGUAAGGCAGCGGACUUUGACUCCGCUAUCUGUUGGUUCGAAUCCAGCCACCGUUGCCA
rnacentral:tRNA from 2 species